rnacentral:rRNA from 1 species
UCCUACGGGAGGCAGCAGUAGGGAAUAUUGGGCAAUGGAUGCAAGUCUGACCCAGCCAUGCCGCGUGGAGGAAGAAGGUCCUCUGGAUUGUAAACUCCUUUUGUCGGGGAAGAAUAGUUCUCUUGCGAGGGAAAGUGACGGUACCCGAUGAAUAAGCCACGGCUAACUACGUGCCAGCAGCCGCGGUAAUACGUAGGUGGCAAGCGUUGUCCGGAUUUAUUGGGUUUAAAGGGUGCGUAGGUGGUUUAAUAAGUCAGUGGUGAAAGCUGGUUGCUCAACAAUCAAGUUGCCAUUGAUACUGUUAGACUUGAGAGAAGUGGAGGUUCAUGGAAUGGAUGGUGUAGCGGUGAAAUGCAUAGAUAUCAUCCAGAACGUCGAUUGCGAAGGCAGUGGGCUGUACUUUUUCUGACACUGAGGCACGAAAGCGUGGGGAUCAAACAGGAUUAGAUACCCUGGUAGUCCACGCUGUAAACGAUGCGAACUAGCUUUUUGGUUUAGGAUUAGGAGGCUAAGGGAAACCGAUAAGUUCGCCACCUGGGGAGUACGCCGGCAACGGUGAAACUCAAAGGAAUUGACGG